rnacentral:rRNA from 1 species
CAGCAGCCACGGUAAUACGGAGGGAGCUAGCGUUGUUCGGAAUUACUGGGCGUAAAGCGCGCGUAGGCGGUUACUCAAGUCAGAGGUGAAAGCCCGGGGCUCAACCCCGGAACUGCCUUUGAAACUAGGUGACUAGAAUCUUGGAGAGGUCAGUGGAAUUCCGAGUGUAGAGGUGAAAUUCGUAGAUAUUCGGAAGAACACCAGUGGCGAAGGCGACUGACUGGACAAGUAUUGACGCUGAGGUGCGAAAGCGUGGGGAGCAAACAGGAUUAGAUACCCCAGUAGUCCCUGUCUCUUAUAC